GUGCUCUUUUUGACAGCACAUGUACUAACAUUGGAACGAUACAGAGAAGGUUAGCAUGGCCCCUGCGCAAGGAUGACACACAAAUUCAUGAAGCGUUCCAUAAAAAA
ensembl:snRNA U6 U6 spliceosomal RNA